UACAUAGGCUCCAAGCGUUGUUCGGAAUUACUGGGCGUAAAGCGAGUGUAGGCUGUCCGCCAAGUCGAUUGUGAAAUCUCCCGGCUCAACUGGGAGGGUGCGGUCGAAACUGGCGGACUCGAGUUCGGGAGAGGAGAGUGGAAUUCCUGGUGUAGCGGUGAAAUGCGUAGAUAUCAGGAGGAACACCGGCGGUGAAGACGGCUCUCUGGACCGAUACUGACGCUGAGACUCGAAAGCGUGGGGAGCAAAC
rnacentral:rRNA from 1 species